rnacentral:rRNA from 1 species
AUUGAACGCUGGCGGCAGGCUUAACACAUGCAAGUCGAGCGGGGUGAUGGUGCUUGCACUAUCACUUAGCGGCGGACGGGUGAGUAAUGCUUAGGAAUCUGCCUAUUAGUGGGGGACAACAUCUCGAAAGGGAUGCUAAUACCGCAUACGUCCUACGGGAGAAAGCAGGGGAUCACUUGUGACCUUGCGCUAAUAGAUGAGCCUAAGUCGGAUUAGCUAGUUGGUGGGGUAAAGGCCUACCAAGGCGACGAUCUGUAGCGCGUCUGAGAGGAUGAUCCGCCACACUGGGACGGAGACACGGCCCAGACUCCUACGGGAGGCAGCAGUGGGGAAUAUUGGACAAUGGGGGGAACCCUGAUCCAGCCAUGCCGCGUGUGUGAAGAAGGCCUUAUGGUUGUAAAGCACUUUAAGCGAGGAGGAGGCUCUUUUGGUUAAUACCCAAGAUGAGUGGACGUUCUCGCAGAAUAAGCACCGGCUAACUCUGUGCCAGCCGCCGCCGUAA